GACGUAGGGGGCGAGCGUUGUCCGGAUUCAUUGGGCGUAAAGGGCUCGUAGGCGGCUUGGCAAGUCGGGUGUGAAACCUCCAGGCUCAACCUGGAGUCGCCACUCGAUACUGCCAUGGCUUGAGUCCGGUAGGGGACCACGGAAUUCCUGGUGUAGCGGUGAAAUGCGCAGAUAUCAGGAGGAACACCAGUAGCGAAGGCGGUGGUCUGGGCCGGUACUGACGCUGAGGAGCGAAAGCGUGGGGAGCGAACAGG
rnacentral:misc_RNA from 1 species